UACGGGGGGGGCUAGCGUUAUUCGGAAUCAUUGGGCGUAAAGGGCGCGUAGGCGGUUCGGUAAGUCAACGGUGAAAUCCCUCGGCUCAACUGAGGAACUGCCUUUGAAACUGCCGUGCUUGAGUCCGGGAGGGGGUAGCGGAAUUCCCAGUGUAGCGGUGAAAUGCGUAGAUAUUGGGAGGAACACCAGUGGCGAAGGCGGCUACCUGGACCGGUACUGACGCUGAUGCGCGAAAGCGUGGGGAGCAAACAGG
rnacentral:rRNA from 1 species